UAAAGUGAGUGUUGUAGAAAACAGUUUAGAGUGGGGUUUGUAGAAAACAUGAGUUUAGAGUGAGUUUUGUAGAAUACAUGAGUUUAGAGUGAGGUUUGCAGAAAAAAUGAUUUUAGAGUGAGUGUUAUAGAAUGCAUGAGUUUAGAGUGAGUGUUAUAGAAUGCAUGAGUUUAGAGUGAGGUUUGUAGAAUACAUGAGUUUAGAGUGAGUGUUAUAGAAUGCAUGACUUUAGAGUGAGGUUUGUAGAAUACAUGAGUUUAGAGUGAGUGUUGUAGAAAACAUGAGUUUAGAGUGAGGUUUGUAGAAAACAUGAGUUUAGAGUGAGUGUUGUAGAAAACAUGAGUUUAGAGUUAGGUUUGUGGAAUACACAAGUUUAGAGUGAGGUUUGUAGAAAACAUGAGUUUAGAGUGAGGUUUGUAGAAUACAUGAGUUUAGAGUGAGGUUUGUAGAAAACAUGAGUAUAGAGUUAGGUUUGUAGAAUACACAAGUUUAGAGUGAGGUUUGUAGAAAACAUGAGUUUAGAGUGAGUGUUGUAGAAAACAUGAGUUUAGAGUUAGGUUUGUAGAAUACACAAGUUUAGAGUGAGGUUUGUAGAAAACAUGAGUUUAGAGUGAGGUUUGUAGAAAACAUGAGUUUAGAGUGAGGUUUGUAGAAAACAUGAGUUUAGAGUGAGUGUUGUAGAAAACAUGAGUUUAGAGUUAGGUUUGUGGAAUACACAAGUUUAGAGUGAGGUUUGUAGAAAACAUGAGUUUAGAGUGAGGUUUGUAGAAUACAUGAGUUUAGAGUGAGGUUUGUAGAAAACAUGAGUAUAGAGUUAGGUUUGUAGAAUACACAAGUUUAGAGUGAGGUUUGUAGAAGACAUGAGUUUAGAGUGAGUGUUGUAGAAAACAUGAGUUUAGAGUUAGGUUUGUAGAAUACACAAGUUUAGAGUUAGGUUUGUAGAAAACAUGAGUUUAGAGUGAGGUUUGUAGAAUACAUGAGUUUAGAGUGAGGUUUGUAGAAAACAUGAGUUUAGAGUGAGUGUUAUAAAAUGCAUGAGUUUCGAGUGAGGUUUGUAGAAUACAUGAGUUUAGAGUGAGUGUUAUAGAAUGCAUGAGUUUUGAGUGAGGUUUGUAGAAUACAUGAGUUUAGAGUGAGCGUUAUAGAAUGCAUGAGUUUAGAGUGAGGUUUGUAGAAUACAUGAGUUUAGAGUGAGUGAUAUAGAAUGCAUGAGUUUAGAGUGAGUGUUAUAAAAUGCAUGAGUUUAGAGUGAGGUUUGUAGAAUACAUGAGUUUAGAAUGAGUGUUAUAGCAUGCAUGAGUUUAAAGUGAGUGUUGUAGAAAACAGUUUAGAGUGGGGUUUGUAGAAAACAUGAGUUUAGAGUGAGUUUUGUAGAAUACAUGAGUUUAGAGUGAGGUUUGUAGAAAACAUGAGUUUAGAGUGAGUGUUAUAGAAUGCAUGAGUUUCGAGUGAGGUUUGUAGAAUACAUGAGUUUAGAGUGAGUGUUAUAGAAUGCAUGAGUUUUGAGUGAGGUUUGUAGAAUACAUGAGUUUAGAGUGAGCGUUAUAGAAUGCAUGAGUUUAGAGUGAGGUUUGUAGAAUACAUGAGUUUAGAGUGAGUGAUAUAGAAUGCAUGAGUUUAGAGUGAGUGUUAUAAAAUGCAUGAGUUUAGAGUGAGGUUUGUAGAAUACAUGAGUUUAGAGUGAGUGUUAUAGAAUGCAUGAGUUUAAAGUGAGUGUUGUAGAAAACAUGAGUUUAGAGUGAGGUUUGUAGAAAACAUGAGUUUAGAGUGAGUGUUAUAGAAUGUAUGAGUUUAGAGUGAGGUUUGUAGAAUACACAAGUUUAGAGUGAGGUUUGUAGAAUACACAAGUUUAGAGUGAGGUUUGUAGAAAACAUGAGUUUAGACUGAGUGUUGUAGAAAACAUGAGUUUAGAGUUAGGUUUGUAGAAUACACAAGUUUAGAGUGAGGUUUGUAGAAAACAUGAGUUUAGAGUGAGGUUUGUAGAAUACAUGAGUUUAGAGUGAGGUUUGUAGAAAACAUGAAUUUAGAGUGAGUGUUAUAGAAUGCAUGGGUUUUGAGUGAGGUUUGUAGAAUACAUGAGUUUAGAGUGAGCGUUAUAGAAUGCAUGAGUUUAGAGUGAGGUUUGUAGAAAACAUGAGUUGAGAGUGAGUGAUAUAGAAUGCAUGAGUUUAGAGUGAGGUUUGUAGAAUACAUGAGUUUAGAGUGAGGUUUGUAGAAUACAUGAGUAUAGAGUGAGUGUUAUAGAAUACAUGAGUUUAGAGUGAGGUUUUUAGAAUACAUGAGUUUAGAGUGAGUGUUAUAGAAUGCAUGAGUUUAGAGUGAGGUUUGUAGAAAACAUAAGUUUAGAGUGAGGUUUGUAGAAUGAAUGAGUUUAGAGUGAGUGUUAUAGAAUGCAUGAGCUUAGAGUGAGGUUUGUAGAAUACAUGAGUUUAGAGUGAGUGUUGUAGAAAACAUGAGUUUAGAGUGAGUGUUGUAGAAAACAUGAGUUUAGAGUUAGGUUUGUGGAAUACACAAGUUUAGAGUGAGGUUUGUAGAAAACAUGAGUUUAGAGUGAGGUUUGUAGAAUACAUGAGUUUAGAGUGAGGUUUGCAGAAAAAAUGAUUUUAGAGUGAGUGUUAUAGAAUGCAUGAGUUUAGAGUGAGUGUUAUAGAAUGCAUGAGUUUAGAGUGAGGUUUGUAGAAUACACAAGUUUAGAGUGAGGUUUGUAGAAAACAUGAGUUUAAAGUGAGGUUUGUAGAAUACACAAGUUUAGAGUGAGGUUUGUAGAAAACAUGAGUUUAGAGUGAGGUUUGUAGAAUACACGAGUUUAGAGUGAUGUUUGUAGAAUACAUGAGUUUAGAGAGAGGUUUGUAGAAUACAUGAGUUUAGAGUGAGGUUUGUAGAAUACAUGAGUAUAGAGUGAGUGUUAUAGAAUACAUGAGUUUAGAGUGAGGUUUGUAGAAUACAUGAGUUUAGAGUGAGUGUUAUAGAAUGCAUGAGUUUAGAGUGAGGUUUGUAGAAAACAUGAGUUGAGUGAGUGUUGUAGAAAACAUGAGUUUAGAGUUAGGUUUGUGGAAUACACAAGUUUAGAGUGAGGUUUGUAGAAAACAUGAGUUUAGAGUGAGGUUUGUAGAAUACAUGAGUUUAGAGUGAGGUUUGUAGAAAACAUGAGUUUCGAGUGAGUGUUAUAGAAUGCAUGGGUUUUGAGUGAGGUUUGUAGAAUACAUGAGUUUAGAGUGAGCGUUAUAGAAUGCAUGAGUUUAGAGUGAGGUUUGUAGAAUACAUGAGUUUAGAGUGAGUGAUAUAGAAUGCAUGAGUUUAGAGUGAGGUUUGUAGAAAACAUGAGUUUAGAGUGAGUGUUGUAGAAAACAUGAGUUUAGAGUUAGGUUUGUAGAAUACACAAGUUUAGAGUGAGGUUUGUAGAAUACACAAGUUUAGAGUGAGGUUUGUAGAAAACAUGAGUUUAGAGUGAGUGUUGUAGAAAACAUGAGUUUAGAGUUAGGUUUGUAGAAUACACAAGUUUAGAGUGAGGUUUGUAGAAAACAUGAGUUUAGAGUGAGGUUUGUAAAAUACAUGAGUUUAGAGUGAGGUUUGUAGAAAACAUGAAUUUAGAGUGAGUGUUAUAGAAUGCAUGGGUUUUGAGUGAGGUUUGUAGAAUACAUGAGUUUAGAGUGAGCGUUAUAGAAUGCAUGAGUUUAGAGUGAGGUUUGUAGAAUACAUGAGUUUAGAGUGAGUGAUAUAGAAUGCAUGAGUUUAGAGUGAGGUUUGUAGAAUACAUGAGUUUAGAGUGAGUGUUAUAGAAUGCAUGAGUUUAAAGUGAGUGUUGUAGAAAGCAUGAGUUUAGAGUGAGGUUUGUAGAAAACAUGAGUUUAGAGUGAGUGUUAUAGAAUGCAUGAGUUUAGAGUGAGGUUUGUAGAAUACACAAGUUUAGAGUGAGGUUUGUAGAAAACAUGAGUUUAGAGUGAGUGUUGUAGAAAACAUGAGUUUAGAGUUAGGUUUGUAGAAUACACAAGUUUAGAGUGAGGUUUGUAGAAAACAUGAGUUUAGAGUGAGGUUUGUAGAAUACAUGAGUUUAGAGUGAGGUUUGUAGUAAACAUGAGUUUAGAGUGAGUGUUAUAGAAUGCAUGAGUUUAGAGUGAGGUUUGUAGAAUACAUGAGUAUAGAGUGAGUGUUAUAGAAUACAUGAGUUUAGAGUGAGGUUUGUAGAAUACAUGAGUUUAGAGUGAGUGUUAUAGAAUGCAUGAGUUUAGAGUGAGGUUUGUAGAAAACAUAAGUUUAGAGUGAGGUUUGUAGAAUGAAUGAGUUUAG